rnacentral:pre_miRNA from 1 species
CGCGGCCAUAUUGUCCUGUCACAGCAGUACGUUGACUCCUACUGCUGCGGCCGGACAAACCGGUCGCG